rnacentral:rRNA from 1 species
UUUAGUGGCGAACGGGUGCGCAAUACGUGAGAAUCUGCCCUUAGGAGAAGAAUAACUGCUGGAAACGGCUGCUAAAUCUUCAUAUGUCGAGAGAUGAAAUAGCUUAGGCUGCCUAAGGAUGAGCUCACGCCUGAUUAGCUAGUUGGUGAGGUAAUGGCUCACCAAGGCCACGAUCAGUAGCUGGUUUGAGAGAACGAUCAGCCACACUGGGACUGAGACACGGCCCAGACUCCUCCGGGAGGCAGCAGUGAGGAAUUUUCCGCAAUGGGCGAAAGCCUGACGGAGCAAUACCGCGUGAGGGAUGAAGGAUUUUGGUCUGUAAACCUCUUUUCUCAAGAAAGAAGUUCUGACGGUACUUGAGGAAUAAGCAUCGGCUAACUCCGUGCCAGCAGCCGCGGUAAUACGGGGGAUGCAAGCGUUAUCCGGAAUCAUUGGGCGUAAAGCGCCUGUAGGUUGUUUAAUAAGUCUGUUGUUAAAGACUAGGGCUUAACCCUAGAAAAGCAAUGGAAACUACUAGACUAGAGUAUGGCA